AAAGGGAUCCUUUGCCUGGCCAGAAAACUGCUUCUAAUUGGCAAUAAUUUGCAUGGCUAUUCCACUGCUGGUUGCAAAAGUAAUCCUCCAUAAAUCAGCAGCUCGUCAUGGAAGCCGGCAACAAAUCAUAAAGCAGGAGCUAAAUGAGUAUAACCACAAAUUUUAAUUACUUUUAAAACUGUGAUUAACCUUAAUUAUGUUUUGUUGCAAGAAAUCAUCUUUGCAAUCCAAACUAUGGUUAUGUUUAGCUGAACUAUCCUGGAUUGCAAGCCAUAGUAAUCAAAAUGGAUGUGAAAGGUUUGCUGGUGACCACAGUGAAAGAUGAUACAAAAGAAGGGCCAUGACUUCAGAGGGGAGAGAUCAGAUUUCUCUCUUAUAUAAGGUCAGUCCUAGAGAUCAACCCUGACUCCUCUUUAGAAGGCCAGAUCCUGAAGAUGAAACUGAAAUACUUUGGCCACUUAAUGAGAAGGAAGGACUCACUGGAAAAGAGCCUAAUCCUGGGAAUGAUUGAGGGCAAAGAAAGAACAGGAUGGCAGAGAAUGAGGUGGCUGGAUGGAGUCACUGAAGCAGUCAGCUAUCUCUGCAAAGAAAGAUCAGAAUCAUGCAGGCCAAGGUUUUCCCUAUGACACUCAGAAGGUGAAAGUUGGAUUUGAAGAAAGAAGUAUAGAAAGAGUAUUGAUGCUUUUGAGAUCUCCUGUUGAAAAAGGCACCUGAGAAAGCUUGGAUAGCUAAGAAAACAAAUGCAUGGAUCAUAAAAGAAGUCAAUCCAGAUUUCUCAUUUGAGGCA